GAUGAACGCUGGCGGCGUGCCUAAUACAUGCAAGUCGAGCGAACAGAUAAGGAGCUUGCUCCUUUGACGUUAGCGGCGGACGGGUGAGUAACACGUGGGUAACCUACCUAUAAGACUGGAAUAACUCCGGGAAACCGGGGCUAAUGCCGGAUAACAUUUAGAACCGCAUGGUUCUAAAGUGAAAGAUGGUUUUGCUAUCACUUAUAGAUGGACCCGCGCCGUAUUAGCUAGUUGGUAAGGUAACGGCUUACCAAGGCAACGAUACGUAUCCGACCUGAGAGGGUGAUCGGCCACACUGGAACUGAGACACGGUCCAGACUCCUACGGGAGGCAGCAGUAGGGAAUCUGCCGCAAUGGGCGAAAGCCUGACGGAGCAACGCCGCGUGAGUGAUGAAGGUCUUCGGAUCGUAAAACUCUGUUAUUAGGGAAGAACAAAUGUGUAAGUAACUGUGCACGUCUUGACGGUACCUAAUCAGAAAGCCACGGCUAACUACGUG
rnacentral:rRNA from 1 species